rnacentral:lncRNA from 1 species
AUGCAAGAAAGGGAAAUACAGAGCUUUGAAAACCAGGAACUUGACAUCUGCAGUGGAAGGUCGGCACUGAUCAGUUUUGGAAAAGAUGUGUCAGAGAAACAAGGAAUUUACAGAGGAAAAGGAGGAAAACAGAUCCAAGUCUGGAAAUUGUCUCCACAAAACAGGCACUUUCUUUUUUUUUAAAUGAUUUAAAUAAAAGCAAAGUAACAUUCCGGAGUCA